rnacentral:rRNA from 1 species
AACGAACGCUGGCGGCAUGCCUAACACAUGCAAGUCGAACGAGACCUUCGGGUCUAGUGGCGCACGGGUGCGUAACACGUGGGAAUUUGCCUCGGGGUAUGGAAUAACUCAGGGAAACUUGAGCUAAUACCAUAUAAUGUCUUCGGACCAAAGAUUUAUCGCCCUGAGAUAAGCCCGCGUAGGAUUAGCUAGUUGGUGGGGUAAAGGCUCACCAAGGCGACGAUCCUUAGCUGGUCUGAGAGGAUGAUCAGCCACACUGGGACUGAGACACGGCCCAGACUCCUACGGGAGGCAGCAGUGGGGAAUAUUGGACAAUGGGCGAAAGCCUGAUCCAGCAAUGCCGCGUGAGUGAUGAAGGCCUUCGGUUGUAAGACUCGUUUACUUACGGUACCGGAACGUAAAUAGACGGUACCGGACGAGAAU